rnacentral:ncRNA from 1 species
UACCUGAUUGAUUCUGUCAGCGCGAUAUGCUCAAGUAAAAGAUUAAGCCAUGCAUGCUUUGAUUCAUAAAUGAAAUUGCGUACGGCUCAUUAGAGCAGAUAUCACCUUUCUCGGAAUCCUGAAAAGGAUAACUGCGGAAAUUCUGGAGCUAAUACAUGCGACUAUACUCCAACGCAAGGCGGGGUGCAAUUAUUAUAACAGACCAAACGUUUUCGGACGUUGUUUGUUGACUCUGAAUACCGUCGUUUACUGUCAGUUUCGACUGACUCUAUCCGAGAAGGGUGUCUGCCCUUUCAACUAGAUGGUAAUCUAUUGGACUACCAUGGUUGUUACGGGUAACGGAGAAUUAGGGUUCGACUCCGGAGAGGGAGCCUUAGAAACGGCUACCACGUCCAAGGAAGGCAGCAGGCGCGAAACUUAUCCACUGUUGAGUAUGAGAUAGUGACUAAAAAUAUAAAGACUCAUCCUUUUGGAUGAGUUAUUUCAAUGAGUUGAAUAUAAAUUAUUCUUCGAGUAGCAAGGAAAGGGCAAGUCUGGUGCCAGCAGCCGCGGUAAUUCCAGCUCUCCUAGUGUAUCUCGUUAUUGCUGCGGUUAAAAAGCUCGUAGUUGGAUCUAGGUUACGUGCCGCAGUUCGCAAUUUGCGUUAACUGUGGUCGUGACUUCUAAUUUGCUGGUUUGAGGUUGGGUUCGCCCUUCAACUGCCAGCAGGUUUACCUUGAAUAAAUCAGAGUGCUCAAUACAGGCGCUUGCUUGAAUAGCUCAUCAUGGAAUAAUGAAACAGGACUUCGGUUCUUUUUGUUGGUUCUAGAAUUGAUCUAAUGGUUAAGAGGGACAAACCGGGGGCAUUCGUAUCAUUACGCGAGAGGUGAAAUUCGUGGACCGUAGUGAGACGCCCAAUAGCGAAAGCAUUUGCCAAGAAUGUCUUCAUUAAUCAAGAACGAAAGUCAGAGGUUCGAAGGCGAUUAGAUACCGCCCUAGUUCUGACCGUAAACGAUGCCAUCUCGCGAUUCGGAGGGUUCAUGCCCUACCGAGGAGCUACCCCGGAA